rnacentral:lncRNA from 1 species
UAGUGUGAAAAGUCAGGGAGCAGGACUGAUUCUAGUGUUAAAAGUCAGGGAGCAGGUCUGAUUCUAGUGUUAAAAGUCAGGGAGCAGGUCUGAUUCUAGUGUUAAAAGUCAGGGAGCAGGAUUGAUUCUAGUGUUAAAAGUCAGGGAGCAGGUCUGAUUCUAGUGUUAAAAGUCAGGGAGCAGGACUGAUUCUAGUGUUAAAAGUCAGGGAGCAGGACUGAUUCUAGUGUUAAAAGUCAGGGAGCAGGACUGAUUCUAGUGUUAAAAGUCAGGGAGCAGGAUUGAUUCUAGUGUUAAAAGUCAGGGAGCAGAACUGAUUCUAGUGUUAAAAGUCAGGGAGCAGGACUGAUUCUAGUGUUAAAAGUCAGAGAGCAGGUCUGAUUCUAGUGUUAAAAGUCAAGGAGCAGGUCUGAUUCUAGUGUUAAAAGGCAAAUCCUGCACUUUUCAACCUCAUAUUCAUCCUCU